AUUCGGCUGGCUUAGGUGACAGUGCUGCAUGGCUGUCGUCAGCUCGUGUCGUGAGAUGUUGGGUUAAGUCCCGCAACGAGCGCAACCCUCGCCUUUAGUUGCCAUCAUUUAGUUGGGUACUCUAAAGGAACCGCCGGUGAUAAGCCGGAGGAAGGUGGGGAUGACGUCAAGUCCUCAUGGCCCUUACGCGUUGGGCUACACACGUGCUACAAUGGCGACUACAGUGGGCAGCGACCAAGCGAGUGGAAGCUAUCUCCAAAAGUCGUCUCAGUUCGGAUUGUUCUCUGCAACUCGAGAGCAUGAAGGCGGAAUCGCUAGUAAUCGCGGAUCAGCAUGCCGCGGUGAAUACGUUCCCAGGCCUUGUACACACCGCCCGUCACACCAUGGGAGUUGGUUUCACCCGAAGGCAGCGCGCUAACCGCAAGGAGGCAGCUGACCACGGUGGGAUCAGCGACUGGGGUGAAGUCGUACAAGA
rnacentral:rRNA from 1 species